rnacentral:rRNA from 1 species
ACGGGUGAGUAACACGUGGGAACGUGCCCUUCGGUUCGGAAUAACUCAGGGAAACUUGAGCUAAUACCGGAUGCGCCCUUAUGGGGAAAGGUUUACUGCCGAAGGAUCGGCCCGCGUCUGAUUAGCUUGUUGGUGGGGUAACGGCCUACCAAGGCGACGAUCAGUAGCUGGUCUGAGAGGAUGAUCAGCCACACUGGGACUGAGACACGGCCCAGACUCCUACGGGAGGCAGCAGUGGGGAAUAUUGGACAAUGGGCGCAAGCCUGAUCCAGCCAUGCCGCGUGAGUGAUGAAGGCCUUAGGGUUGUAAAGCUCUUUUGUCCGGGACGAUAAUGACGGUACCGGAAGAAUAAGCCCCGGCUAACUUCGUGCCAGCAGCCGCGGUAAUACGAAGGGGGCUAGCGUUGCUCGGAAUCACUGGGCGUAAAGGGCGCGUAGGCGGCCGAUUAAGUCGGGGGUGAAAGCCUGUGGCUCAACCACAGAAUUGCCUUCGAUACUGGUUGGCUUGAGACCGGAAGAGGACAGCUGAACUGCGAGUGUAGAGGUGAAAUUCGUAGA